AUGAACGCUGGCGGCGUGCCUAAUACAUGCCAGUCGAGCGAACAGACGAGGAGCUUGCUCCUCUGACGUUAGCGGCGGACGGGUGAGUAACACGUGGAUAACCUACCUAUAAGACUGGGAUAACUUCGGGAAACCGGAGCUAAUACCGGAUAAUAUAUUGAACCGCAUGGUUCAAUAGUGAAAGACGGUUUUGCUGUCACUUAUAGAUGGAUCCGCGCCGCAUUAGCUAGUUGGUAAGGUAACGGCUUACCAAGGCAACGAUGCGUAGCCGACCUGAGAGGGUGAUCGGCCACACUGGAACUGAGACACGGUCCAGACUCCUACGGGAGGCAGCAGUAGGGAAUCUUCCGCAAUGGGCGAAAGCCUGACGGAGCAACGCCGCGUGAGUGAUGAAGGUCUUCGGAUCGUAAAACUCUGUUAUUAGGGAAGAACAAAUGUGUAAGUAACUAUGCACGUCUUGACGGCACCUAAUCAGAAAGCCACGGCUAACUACGUG
rnacentral:rRNA from 1 species